GGCCGGGCUUAGUUGACUGUUCUCCUAAUGUUACAGCAAUCAAAUCUAAGGAGAAAACCCACCAGCUCUUUGCAGUUUGAUAGUUUUCACGCCCGUGUUUAAGCUCCGAACAUGUUUUGAAUGCCGCGUGUCCUUUAAAUGUGUUGUUCAUGCAACAAAGAUUCCUGAAGUCGAAACCCGAGGUCAGGAUGCUGAGAGAGACACCCCCCCUCCCCCCGCUCGACCAACACGGAGCCAUGAGACGUAAGACGGGAAGCAUGGGUGAAGAGGACAGUAGAACGUGGAGUGAGACAGCAUGGUGAUCAUCACAACAAGGGUCAUCAGGUGAUUUAGAGGAACGACGGCUGAUUUCAUCUGAGAACAUUGAAAGGCGCCAUGAGGACCCACCAUGGGUCAGGGAGCAGGAAGUGAGGAAUCCACAAACAGAGAAGUGAAUGCGCCGCCUUGAACCACGUUCUUUAAUAUAUGGAUAUAUGUUAUGCACGGAGGACAUAAAAGAAUGGUUGGAUGAAUGUGGAUAUAUGGUUUAACAGAUGGAUGGAUGAGGAUCUAUGAUAUAAACUGAUGGAUGGAUGAGGAUAUAUGAUAUAAACUGAUGGAUGGAUGAGGAUAUAUGAUAUAAACUGAUGGAUGGAUGAGGAUCUAUGAUAUAAACUGAUGGAUGGAUGAGGAUAUAUGAUAUAAACUGAUGGAUGGAUGAGGAUAUAUGAUAUAAACUGAUGGAUGGAUGUGUAACAGGUCGGUGGUCUACUUGUUCUUCACAGCGUGUCCUUUAUUAUCUGCAGGAUGCCGUCUUCUAGGGUGAGAUCUAAUCACCCCCCCCCACCCCCCCUAUCCUCGGCUGAUUAGAUCCCAGAGAACCAGCUGAGGCCUGAAGGAUGAGAGUGGAGGCAAAGAGCAGGAGACCCACGGUGACGUCAUCUAUUGAAAUGCAAAACAACAACAACAACAAAGCACCAGCCGUUGGCGUCGCUCUGCUGAUCUCCACCCAUCAAACCACUCUGAUCAUCAGCUGCUCAUCACGAGGUUCCAGCUGGGAGGGUUUUUUAAAGCGCUGAAGCAGGACGUCCCUUCAGUCGCUUACAGCUGAAGACCAGGACCAGGGACCAUGUCCCCCCCUCAGCGCCCCCUGCUGGUCUGUCUGAAGACGGACUCUGAAGCAGCAGCUUUGGUUGCAGCGCCCUCCAGAGGCGGAGCAGGUCGUCACGUCCCCCCCCCUCAGCUUCCUGUCUGCGUUGGUUCCUCUGCAGGCCUCCAGGGGGCGCCGGGGUUCCAGACUCCGAGAAUCCUUCCUGUGGUGGAAGCCCUGAAGACAGAAUAUGACAGACUUCAUUUUAGUCCUCUUUGCGGUUCUUCUGCGUAGAAAAUACUUUUUAGAGAAUUUUUAUAAAUUUGAACAAAGUGAAUCUGAGAAAGAAGCUUUCUGAGCUCACCUUGGUUUGUGAGAUGUGAAAGAAACGCACGACAAAGACGGACAAACAUACCUGGUGGCCCUGUUUGAAGGUGUGUGUAUGCGCGUGUGUGUGUGUGUGACUGUGUGUGUGUGUGUGUGUGCGUGCGUGAGAACUCACGGAUGCAGCGUGUGCAUGGCGUGGACGUAUUGUGGACGUAGCGAGGACAUAGUGUGGACGUAGCAAGGACAUAGUGUGGACGUAGCGAGGACGUAGAGAGGACGUAGUGUGGACAUAGCGAGGACGUAAACGAGGACACAAGUAGACGAGGACAAACCUUGCGUCAGGAGGCCAUUGGCGUCAUUGACUUAAACUCAAUAACCAGCUGGUUUGCUUGAUAAAGGCAUAAAGCGUUUGUUUGUGGACUCGUGGUUCGUUUCAUUGUGUUUCUGUCUUUUAAUUCAACAUUAAUAUUCAACGUCACGUGUAUAAACACACGUAUGUAUAUUAAUACUUAAUUAAUACUACUUUAGACCAGUGCUUCGAUGCGUUCACCACAUUCCCGUCACUUUUACCCGUCAUGCUAACGCGUGCUAACGGGUACUAACGCGUGCUAACAUGCUAACGCGUAGCCGAGGCCGAGAGGAAGAUUCCCUGCUCUACUUCUUCUGAUGUCAAUAUUAUCUUCUCAUUUAUGGAACUGUUCAUCGGAAAAAUAAAACAUUUGAUGGUUUGUUGCCUCGGGAACGUUUGAGAGGCUUUUACAGAUUUAUUGAAUAAAAUUAAGAUGAAAUAAAAGUUAGUAGCGGUGAAAGUAAUAUGACAUUAUGAUGAUUGAUGAGUUGUUUUUUUUGUCUUAAAAGCCUGGAAAUAAAAGGCGAGAUGGAUGAUUUCAUCAUUUAUUCUACGGAACGUUUGGUGAUUUAUGGAUUUAAUGUCGAUCACUUUUCUGGACUCUUUGUUAAAAGAAUAAAUCUGGAUAUUGAAAUAAAACUGCA